rnacentral:rRNA from 1 species
CCUACGGGAGGCAGCAGUGGGGAAUAUUGGACAAUGGGCGAAAGCCUGAUCCAGCCAUGCCGCGUGUGUGAAGAAGGCCUUCGGGUUGUAAGGCACUUUCAGUGGGGAAGAAAGCCUUGGGGCUAAUACCCUCGAGGAAGGACAUCACCCACAGAAGAAGCACCGGCUAACUCCGUGCCAGCAGCCGCGGUAAUACGGAGGGUGCGAGCGUUAAUCGGAAUUACUGGGCGUAAAGCGCGCGUAGGCGGUCUGAUAAGCCGGUUGUGAAAGCCCCGGGCUCAACCUGGGAACGGCAUCCGGAACUGUCAGGCUAGAGUGCAGGAGAGGAAGGUAGAAUUCCCGGUGUAGCGGUGAAAUGCGUAGAGAUCGGGAGGAAUACCAGUGGCGAAGGCGGCCUUCUGGACUGACACUGACGCUGAGGUGCGAAAGCGUGGGUAGCAAACAGGAUUAGAUACCCUAGUAGUC